rnacentral:rRNA from 1 species
GACGAACGCUGGCGGCGUGCUUAACACAUGCAAGUCGAGCGGUAAGGCCCUUUCGGGGUACGACGAGCGGCGAACGGGUAGGAGUAACAACGUGGGUGGACCUCGCCCUCCAGUUCUUGGGAGUAAAGACCGUCGGGAAACCGGGGUACCGUAAUAACUGGAGUAUGACCUCCAUGACGCAUGUUGUUGGAGUGGAAAGACCUU